rnacentral:lncRNA from 1 species
UCAGAGCAGCAUGUUAGGGAGAUGGAGUUAUCUCAGUUAUAUGCAGACUGGACAGAGAAACUUCAGACACUGAGAUGGACUAAAAGGAUACUUCCCUUUUUCAGAUUGUUUAGGUCACUCUGUGGAUACAAGAUGGAGCUCCCACCAUGCAAAAUUUGAUUUGGAUGUCUAGACUGAUGAUGCCACACACACACUCUAAGAAGGUCAGAUACAAGAAAGUCCCUGCCCUUGCCUUGGUGGAGACCAGAUGGGGUUACUUCAUCCAGAUAGAAUGGCUUCUUGGCAUCUGGUUGUUGACUUCCUUGGCUUCCACUUGCUGCCAGGGAGACCCACUGAACUGGAACUAAGAAAAAGAUUCAGCUUACUUCAGAUUGCUAUUUGGCAAUCUUUGUUUCCCUUGCAUCAGGUAUUUACUAACACUUCCAGCCUUAAGUGAGAUGACAAAUAUUAAUUAUCUACCACAGGUAGGAACUCAUUAAAUAUUAACUCAGUUCUCCUUUCCUAGAGCAAAUGAUUUAAUCUCUCUUAAACAAGCAUAGUUUUUGCUACUUAAAGCACACCCUUCCUAUAUAAUCAGUAAGGAAAAAGCC